AGAUAAUGUGCUGCAGCUGGCUAGUACCAGCUUGGGAGCCAAAUAUGUACAUCUCUUCCCAAAUCUACAUUAGAAACAUUGUAUUAGAAGCUCAAAGUUGGUCAUGGUGGAAGUAUUUACACCACAGAAAGCAUGUUGGAAGCAGAGCUCAGUAGUGAAAGCUACAGCUGCCAGAGACUUGCAGUGGCGUCACACGAGCAGAGUUCUUUAUAAAUGGCAGUAACAGGCCAGGCGUGGUGGCUUAACGUCUGUAAUCCCAACACUUUGGGAGGCCGAGGCGGGCAGAUCACGAGGUCAGAAGAUCAAGACUAUCCUAGCUAAUGCAGUGAAACCCCACCUCUACUAAAAAUAAAAAAAAAAUGAGUUCAUGCCAGAGCCCCGCGAGGGAAACGUCUUAGUCGUGUCCGGCCGCUUUGCGGGACUCUGAGGAAAAGCUCAUACCAGAUGGACGCCGUUCUGUUCACUAUGGGUAAAGGAGACCCCAACAAGCCGAGGGGCAAAAUGUCCUCAUACGCCUUCUUCGUGCAUACCUGCUGGGAAGAGCACAAUCAAAACACCCGGACUCUUCCGUCAAUUUUGCAGAAUUCUCCAAGAAGUGUUGGGAGAGAUGGAAGACCAUGUCUGCAAAGGAGAAGUCGAAGUUUGAAGAUAUGGCGAAAAGUGACAAAGCUCGCUAUGAUAGGGAGAUGAAAAAUUACGUCUCUCCCAAAGGUGAUAAGAAAGGAAAGAAAAAGGAUCCCAAUGCUCCUAAAAGGCCACCAUCUGCCUUCUUCCUGUUUUGCUCUGAACAUUGCCCAAAGAUCAAAAGUGAACAUCCAGGCCUAUCCACUGGGGAUACUGCAAAGAAAUUGGGUGAAAUAUGGUCUGAGCAGUCAGCCAAAGAUAAACAACCAUAUGAACAGAAAGCAGCUAAGCUAAAGGAGAAUUCUGAAAAGGAUAUUGCUGCAUAUCGUGCCAAGGGCAAAAGUGAAGCAGGAAAGAAAGGCCCUGGCAACAGGCUCAAAGAAGAAGAAUGAAUCAGAAAGGCCAACAGGCUCAAAGAAGAAUGAACCAGAAGAUGAGGAGGAGGAAGAAGAUGAAGAUGAUGAGGAAGAGGAGAAGAUGAAGAAUAAAUGGCUAUCCUUUAAUGAUGAGUGUGGAGUGUGCUUGUGUGCUUAGGCAAUUGUUUUGCUAAGAAUGUGAAUUCAAGUGCAGCUCAAUAUUAGCUUCAGUAUAAAAAUGUACAGAUUUUUGUAUAGCUGAUAAGAUUCUCUGUAGAGAAAAUACUUUUUAAAAAAUGCAGGUUGUAGCUUUUUGAUGGGCUACUACAUACAGUUAGAUUUUACAGCUUCUGAUGUUGAAUGUUUCUAAAUAUUUAAUGGUUUUUUAAAUUUCUUGACUUGUGUAUGGUAGCACAGCAAACUUGUAGGAAUUAGUAUCAGUAAAUUUUUGGUUUUUUAGGAUGUUGCCUUUUGUUUUUUAAGAAAAAAAAUGUUGUAAUAAAAUUAUGUAUAUUAAAAACAUAAAAAAUAAAAAAUAAAUUAGCUGGGCGUGGUGGCCGCAUGUCUGUAGGCCCUACUGCUUGGGAGGCAGAGGCGGGAGAAUCACUUGAACCUGGGAGGCAGAGGUUACAGUGAGCCGAGGUUGCACCACUGCACUCCAGCCUGAUGAGAGAGUGAGACUGUGUCUCAAAAACAAAACAAAACAAAAAAGUAAUAAAUGGACUUAACAACUCACUUGACUUUCCUUCAUCUGACAUAGUCACCUAUCAGAAUGUUGGCUAUCAAACUGGUAGAACAGCCAGUCCUCUGAUUUGGUUUCCUAGAGAAGGCAGUUGUUGGCCCAAUGUUUUGUCAACAUUAAGGCUCUUAUUCUUGCAUUUGAAACCAAACACCUUAGUCACUUUGCUUGCAUCAGGGUUGGCACAAGAAGGUAUGGUCCUUCUUGGGUGGGUAUUUUGCAUUGUCACAAAUAGUCUUAUUUAUAAAAAAACGAACUCUGAAAUCCUAAAACUAGUAUCUAGCAAAAGGAAGAGAUUCAAUUCUAUCAGGCAAUUUAUUACUCAGUCAAGAAUGAUGCUAAGUAUAGAUUCAGCAGUAUAAAUAUAUUACCAAAAGCAUGCUUUUAUUCAUUUUAAAAUUAAUUAGUAUAUAUAUUUUUUGAGACAGAGUCUUGCUCUGUACCCCAGGCUGGAGUGCAGUGGCGUGAUCUCGGCUCACUGCAACCUCCACCUCUUGGGUCUGGGUUAAGCAACUCUCCUGCCUCAGCCUCCUGAGUAGUGGAGAUUACAGGUGCUCACGACCAUGCCCAGCUAAUUGUAUUUUUUUUAGUAGAGAUGGAAUUUUACCAUGUUGGCCAGGCUGGUCUUGAACUCCUGACCUUGUGAUCCACCCACCUCUGCCUCCCAAAGUGCUGGGAUUACUGGUGUGAGCCACUGCUCCCAGCAAUAAUUUUUUUUUUAGAGGGAGUCUUGCUCUUUUGUCCAGGCUGGAGUGCAGUGGUGUGAUCUCAGUUCACUGCAGCCUCUGCCUCCUGGGUUCAAGUGAUUCUCUCACCUUAGCCUCCUGAGUAGCUGGGAUUAUAGGCACAUACCACCACACUGGCUAAUUUUUGUGUUUUUAGUAGAGAUGGCGUUUCACCAUGUUGGCUAGGCUGGUCUCAAACUCCUGACCUCAGGUAAUCCACCUGCCUUGGCACGUGCUGGGAUUACAGGUGCGAGCCACCUCGCCCAGCCCACUUGCUUUUAUUUAAUGACUUGCUAAAAAACAAAAACAAAAAAUGUUAGCACUUACAUGGGGCUUCAUGACAUCUUUCUAGUAAUUCUGGUACCUUUUGGGCACCUAUUUUUCCAAAAUAGACUUUGGAGAAUCUAUUUAGAGCUAUAGAACUCCUCUCAGUCCUCCCCAAAUUGUACACAACAGAUUUAUUCCUUGCUCCCUAAAGCCUAUCCUUAGAAAUUGCAAGUUGAGAAUUCACCCACCACUGCCCACUGUUCCAAAAGGCUUUACUGAUUCUCAGUAAUGAAAACUAAUGUAGGGCCGGGUGCGGUGGCUCACGCCUGUAAUCCCAGCACUUUGGGAGGCCGAGGCGGGUGGAUCACGAGGUCAAGAGAUCGAGACCAUCCUGGUCAACAAGGCGAAACCCCGUCUCUACUAAAAAUACAAAAAAUUAGCUGGGCACGGUGGCACAUGCCUGUAGUCUCAGCUACUCGGGAGGCUGAGGCAGGAGAAUUGCCUGAACCCAGGAGGCGGAGGUUGCAGUGAGCCGAGAUCGCACCAUUGCACUCCAGUCUGGGUAACGAGUGAAACUCCGUCUCAAAAAGAAAAUUAAUGUAAAACUCUCCAUAGGAGGCAUUAACAUAUUUGUGUUUCUUCCAAACCUUCUGAUUUCCACUAAAAUUUGUAACCAAAAUGUAUUCGGAAAAAAAAUCAUUAAGCUUUUACGCUAUUAUCUGGCUCACUCUAACUGUAUGAUCUUUUAAUUGUGGAAACAUGGCAGUUCCCUGGAAGACCACAGCCUUUAGAGACUAGCAAGCCUGGCUUGAUCACUAGUUCUGAUAGUUAUUUUGCUGUAUUAAUUUACCUAAUUUUUCUGACUGUGCUUUCUCAUCUGUAAAAUGUAUGCAUAACAUAUGAUAGGGAGGUUUUUUUUUUUUUGAAAAAAUAGAGUCUUGCUCUGUCGCCCAGGCUGGAGUGCAGGGGCACGAUCUCAGCUCACUGCAACCUCUGCCUCCCGGGUUCAAGCAAUUUUCCUGCCUCAGCCUCCUGAGUACCUGGGACCACAGGCGCACACGACCAUGCCCAACUAAUUUCUUUUGUACUUUAGUAGAGACAGGGUUUCACUGUGUUGCCCAGGCUGGUCUCAAACUCCUGAGCUCAGGCAAUCCGCCUGCCUCAGCCUCCCAAAGUGCUAGGAUUACAGGCCUGAGCCACCAUGCCCGGUUGAUAGGGAGCUAUUUGAAAGACAAAACAUCUGACACAGAAAAGGCUGGAUGAAAACCUUUAGAGACCCAAAGCAGCAGGGCUAUUGUGCCAGAUCGCUCAAGGUAUUAGUAGGAAAGAGAACACACACACUCAAACUGAGUAAUGUUUAGGGACUAUUUAUAAAGACAUGGACAGAGUUCAGGGAAGCCAGCAAAGAAUAAUGGCGUACUCCAGGGAUGGUGAGUGAGUCUCCCCCCGCCCCCCCCUUUUGAGAUAAAGAGUCCUGCUCUGUUGUGCCACAAUCUCAGCUCACUGCAGCCUCCGCCGCCUCCCAGGUUCAAGCAAUAAUCUGGCUUCAGCCUCCCAAGGAGAUGGGAUUACAGACAUGCACCACUAUGCCCAGCCAAUUGUAUUUUUAGUAGAGAUGGGGUUUUGUCAUGUUGACUAGGUUUAUCUCGAACUCCUGACCUCAGGUGACCUGUCCACCUCAGCCUCCUGAAGUGCUGGGAUUAUAGAUGUGAGUGACCCUGCCCAGCCUGAGUCUUCCUUUCUUUUUUGGAGACAGUUUUGCUCUUGUUGCCCAGGCUGGAGUGCAAUGGCACAUCUCAGCUUACUGCAACCUCUGCCUACCAGGUUCAUGCGCUUCUCCUGCCUCAGCCUCCCGAGCAGCUGGGAUUACAGGCAUGAGCCACCAUGACUGGCUAAUUUUUGUAUUUUGAGUAGAGAUGGGGUUUCACCAUGUUGGUCAGGCUGGUCUUGAACUCCUGACCUCAGGUGAUCCACCGUUUUGGCUUCACAAAGUGUUGGGAUUACAGGCAUGGCCACUGCUCCUCGGCUCCAAGUCCUCCUUUCUGUCCUAGAUGUGAAGGAGCAAAGAGGAACCAGAAGCUUGAGGGGGCUACUUGAUGGGAGCUGUGGUCUUUGGUAAAGGGAUAUAGACAACCCAUGUGACCUGGCAAUGAGAAAGCCAGAAUACUUUGACCAUCUUUUCCCUCAUAUCUUUGGAUAUGACUAAUUGGAUAAACACAAGCUGAAGUUAGAGGGCAAAUGAGCCAUUCAUGCAGCAUGUGGGCAAGCACCUGCUGGAGUCCAGAGUGGAUGAAGAGGGGUUCUGAAAGGGAAAUGGAAGACAUGCAGUAUAACCUUUCCCCGAACUUAAUUCAAACUACUUAUUACACAUAAAAAUCACUUGUAUGCCAAAACUAAAAUAACCUGUUUCCAGAAUUUGAUUGCAAAAUUCUGAGUUCUUCAAUUAAAAUUGCAUUUUCAGGCCAGGCGCAGUGGCUCACGCCUGUAAUCCCAGCACUUUGGGAGGCCGAGGUGGGUGAAUCACGAGGUCAAGAGAUCGAUACCAUCCUGGUCAACAUGGUGAAACCCCGUCUCUGCUAGAAAUACAAAAAAUUAGCUGGGCAUGGUGGUGCGUGCCUGUAAUCCCAGCUACUCAGGAGGCCGAGGCAGAAGGAUUGCCUGAACCCAGGAGGCGGAGGUUGCAGUGAGCCGAGAUAGUGCCAUUGCACUCCAGCCUGGGUAACAAGAGCUAAACUCCGUCUCAAAACAAAACUGCAUUUUCCUCAGCCUUUUUGGUGCCCCUACUUCACUGGUGCCUUAAGCACAUGUUUGGAGAGCUUAAGGGCAGCCCUGAGCAUGGUGCCUGGACUAGGGGGCCUCAAAACACAGGACUGAGAAGUCUCAGGUUCAUUGCUGAAUGCUGACUGUGAGUCUCUGAGAGUUUUGAGAAUCUAGAACUAAUUUAGAAUGAAUCUCAGGAUUUUUCUGUCAGUAUCUAUAAAUUAGGACAGGAACUGGAUUUUCUUUUUAUUUAUUUAUUUAUUUUUCUUCCCCCCCACCCCCAAUUUUCUUGAAUUUGAAAAAUCCUAUUAUAGUAUAACUUCACAUAAGCCCACUGAAUGAUUGGAAAGUUUUUAGUUUCUUAUCAGAGAAUAAAAUGAAUCAGGACAUCAAUUUCACAUUGACAUUUUUAUUAACGCCAACUGUUUUUUAAUUUUUAUUUUUUUUAAAACAAUAGCACAAAAAUGUUUCAAGGAAGCAGUCUCACAAUCUGAUGACCUUCUGAAAUACAGUUAAGCCACACCAAAUAUGAAUUUCUGUUAAUAACACAAAAAAAAUUUUUUUAAGAAAAAAAGUACAGGGAAAAAGGAGGGGAAUGAGAUUUAGGUUUAAAAUUCACUGGACUGAAUAGGUGAGGCUUGUUAGUAGGAUAUACUGUUGAAGCAAACAGUGGCGCACACACAGGCUUAUAGUCUUUGUUUUUAAACCAGUUACCACUAAUGCAUAAGCCCUGCAGCAGUUACCACUGACUUCUCACAUGCAGAAAAUGAACCAGGAGAAGCCAGUGUUGAUACUGUUAUGAGGAGGUUCAAUAAUUGGCUUGUCAGACAACUAAGACCUUUUUUAGCAGAAUAACUCCUUCAGAAAGGCCUGGCUGAAGAUCUUUUUAUUUCUAUUGUCUCACCUAUAUGCAUUUCAGGGUUCUUAUAAGUCAUCUUUAAAAAGAAAGAAAAAAACAAUGUAUAUCAGUUUCUCUUAUUUAAUGUGGCUAUGAAAGAUGUUU